UACGUAGGGUGCAAGCGUUGUCCGGAAUCAUUGGGCGUAAAGCGCGCGUAGGUGGCCAUUUAAGUCCGCUGUGAAAGUCAAAGGCUCAACCUUUGAAAGCCGGUGGAUACUGGAUGGCUAGAGUACGGAAGAGGCGAGUGGAAUUCCUGGUGUAGCGGUGGAAUGCGCAGAUAUCAGGAGGAACACCAAUAGCGAAGGCAGCUCGCUGGGACGGUACUGACGCUGAGACGCGAAAGCGUGGGGAGCGAACAGG
rnacentral:rRNA from 1 species